rnacentral:rRNA from 1 species
GACGAACGCUGGCGGCGUGCCUAAUACAUGCAAGUAGAACGCUGAAGAGAGGAGCUUGCUCUUCUUGGAUGAGUUGCGAACGGGUGAGUAACGCGUAGGUAACCUGCCUGGUAGCGGGGGAUAACUAUUGAAAACGAUAGCUAAUACCGCAUGAAAUGGAUUAUCGCAUGAUAAUUCAUUGAAAGGUGCAAAUGCAUCACUACCAGAUGGACCUGCGUUGUAUUAGCUAGUUGGUGGGGUAACGGCUCACCAAGGCGACGAUACAUAGCCGACCUGAGAGGGUGAUCGGCCACACUGGGACUGAGACACGGCCCAGACUCCUACGGGAGGCAGCAGUAGGGAAUCUUCGGCAAUGGACGGAAGUCUGACCGAGCAACGCCGCGUGAGUGAAGAAGGUUUUCGGAUCGUAAAGCUCUGUUGUAAGAGAAGAACGAGUGUGAGAGUGGAAAGUUCACACUGUGACGGUAUCUUACCAGAAAGGACGG